GGCCCAGUAGCUCAGUGGUUGGAGCUCCUGGUGUAUCUUCAGAAGGUCCUGGGUUCAAACCCCAGUCUGGCCA